rnacentral:rRNA from 1 species
UGGGGAAUUUUGGACAAUGGGGGAAACCCUGAUCCAGCCAUCCCGGGUGUGCGAUGAAGGCCUUCGGGUUGUAAAGCACUUUUGGCAGGAAAGAAACGUCAUGGGUUAAUACCCCGUGAAACUGACGGUACCUGCAGAAUAAGCACCGGCUAACUACGUGCCAGCAGCCGCGGUAAUACGUAGGGUGCAAGCGUUAAUCGGAAUUACUGGGCGUAAAGCGGGCGCAGGCGGUUCGGAAAGAAAGAUGUGAAAUCCCAGAGCUCAACUUUGGAACUGCAUUUUUAACUACCGGGCUAGAGUGUGUCAGAGGGAGGUGGAAUUCCGCGUGUAGCAGUGAAAUGCGUAGAUAUGCGGAGGAACACCGAUGGCGAAGGCAGCCUCCUGGGAUAACACUGACGCUCAUGCACGAAAGCGUGGGGAGCAAACAGG